AUUGAACGCUGGCGGCAUGCCUUACACAUGCAAGUCGAACGGCAGCACGGGAGCAAUCCUGGUGGCGAGUGGCGAACGGGUGAGUAAUAUAUCGGAACGUGCCCAGUCGUGGGGGAUAACGCAGCGAAAGCUGUGCUAAUACCGCAUACGAUCUCUGGAUGAAAGCGGGGGACUCGCAAGGGCCUCGCGCGAUUGGAGCGGCCGAUAUCAGAUUAGCUAGUUGGCGGGGUAAAGGCCCACCAAGGCGACGAUCUGUAGCUGGUCUGAGAGGACGACCAGCCACACUGGAACUGAGACACGGUCCAGACUCCUACGGGAGGCAGCAGUGGGGAAUUUUGGACAAUGGGCGCAAGCCUGAUCCAGCAA
rnacentral:rRNA from 1 species